GACGAACGCUGGCGGCGUGCCUAAUACAUGCAAGUAGGAUGCAGUUGCGAACGGGUGAGUAACGCGUAGGUAACUACCUAUUAGAGGGGGAUAACUAUUGGAAACGAUAGCUAAUACCGCCUACUAGUAGAUGGACCUGCGUUGUAUUAGCUAGUAGGUAGGGUAAAGGCCUACCUAGGCAACGAUACAUAGCCGACCUGAGAGGGUGAUAGGCCACACUGGGACUGAGACAAGGCCCCGACUCCUACGGGAUGCAGCAGUAGGGAAUCUUCGGCAAUGGGGGGAACGCGGACCGAGCAACGCCGCGGGAGUGAAGAAGGGUUUCGGAUCGGAAAGCUCUGUUGUUAAGGAAGCGGUACUUAACCAGAAAGCGACGGCUAACUACGUGCCAGCAGCCGCGGUAAUUC
rnacentral:rRNA from 1 species